CACAUACACACCUGAAUAUGGCGUCCUCAGAGAUGGUAACUCCCGUUGAGCUCAGCAGAGGGUCGGCCACAGGAAGCGUCCUCAGCCUGGACAGCUUGGCUCUGAGCGUAGGUCAUCGAGUACAGAACCACUGACGAAGAGUUUGCAGGUGGAGAUCACCUUUCCUAAAACAAGGAGCUGAUGAGCCAAAGAUCAUUUAUUGAAGAUGAUUCACUGCAUGAACUAUACAGGUGGUAUUUAACUGUCCUUUUGUUUUAUUAGGUAAAGCA